CUCUCCGCCACCGCCCCGCCUCUAAACCGCUCCCCAAGCCAACCGCCGGUCCCCGUUGCCCCUCUCUCCUCCCUCCCCACGGCUCCCUCCCGCCGCUACCUUCGGCGCGCCGGCUACCUCCUCCGCGCCGGCGGCCGCAGCCCCCUCCUCCCCGGCGCGGCGGCCCAGCGGACCUCCUCCUCCCCGACGGCGGCCGCAACCCCCUCCUCCUCGGCGCGGCAGCCGCAGCCCCCUCCUCCCCGGCGCGGCGGCCCGGCGGCCUCCUCCAGGCGUGGUGUCCUCCUCCCAUGCCUCCUCCUUUCUCUAAGAUGGCGCAAGUCUGCGCCCGCUCUCGAUGCCGUUCGCCUCGUCUGCCUCUAGCUUUGCCGGCCUCCUGUAGCAAUCGGUAGGAUAGGGGUUAUUUUGCAGUCUUGCGGUGCGGGACUCCAACCUCUGUAUUUGCCGUUCAGGGGCUUUUGGCGAUCCGCGGUGCGGAUAGCCUACGCAUCCUCUGGAACCCUAGGCACGCCGCCGCCAUAGCCACGUCGCAAUCCCCACCGUGGUCGCAGCCGCCAUGGCGCGUUCAGACGGACGGGAUCCCUUCGCAGCGCGUAUCCGGAGGAGCGCACCCCCACUUUCCCUGGUUUUCCAUGGAUCCGCCGUCAAGGGUCGUCGAUCUGCAUAGGGCAGGCGUGCAUCUUGCCGGAGGAGCCGGAACCGGCCCUGGCUUUCCAUGGCGGUGAAGGACUUCGGCCGCUCCCAUCUGUCAAGGUUAGUUCAUCUGCCGACGGUCUGCUAUGCAGGGGCCGUCCGUUGUCUAUCGGUUCCUCUCUCGGUGCUGCUCCCAUCUGUCAUGGCUUUUCCCUGUAGAUCUACUGCUACAUCUGUACAACUGAGAAGUUUGGUGACAAGACUUGCAUGCCUUUAUUUACUUAACUUUUAAUAAUAUAAAUCUGUCUGUUCCUUUUAAUAUAUGUUGUGACACUACAACAAUGUUUGGCACAGCUUCCUUCUACGGAGGACGAGGGCGGAUUCUGGUUAGAAGUCUGCUUCUGUUCCUCUAUUUAAUUUCAGUUUCACUUAAGUUGCUGCAUAAUGCGGAUGAGAGGUAGCACUUUACAAAUUUUUUUGUGUCGAGAAAAUGCAGUACAUUUUUGCCAAACAUUCUUAUGUUAUUGACACUAGAGAAUAAAAGAAGUUAUACUACAACUUAACAAGGAGUUUGUAAAUAUGGUGGAUGCUCAAAAAGUACAAUAAACAGAGGCUUUUAAGUAUUUGUAUGAUUUAUAUUGUAUGCUAACAAGGAUGUGAUCCUUGUAGAUUCCUACAUGCAAUUUUUUUGGGGUGUUUGGUUUGAUAGAUGAACCCAUUCUACAUUGUCUUGCUCAUUAUGAGUUCAUCUUAUGAAUUGUGAUGGAAUGACUUCAUUACUAAUGUUUAUACUAAUUAUGUGUAUGUGAGGAAUGAAGUGAUGCUGCAUUAAAGUUUUGCAUUCCUCAAGGAGAUUUGGAUGUGAGGAGGAGUGGUGGAUUUUUAGCAAUGUUAUCGAUGAUCCAAGAUUUCCUGCUGCUCUUCCUAGCUUGAGAUAUCAGUUGGUUGGGGAGCGUGGCUGUUGUCAUUUCAAACCAUUGAUAAUCCUGUGGCCUUCGCGCAUGCUUGGCUCAAGUGUUUGAAGGAGGCUAGGCCAUGGGAAGCGUGGGCCAUCUAUUCCUAUUAUUCCUAUUAGCACAACUGUUAUCAAUUCCAAGUUUCAGAUUCACCACUGUUAGCUAUGCACUUCAGAAGCCUACUUAUUGGAACCACAAGCAAAAAGGAUGUUUAAGACUCAUGAUGUAGUAAAUCCAUAAAUUUUAUGGAAUGCAAAAUAAAAAAAAGAGUAGAAUUGACACAA